CCCUUAGAUGUCCGGGGCUGCACGCGCGCUACACUGAAGGAAUCAGCGUGCUAAAACCAUUGUCGAAAGGCAUUGGUAAACCCAUUAAAAUCCUACGUGAUUGGGAUCGGGAAUUGCAAUUAUUUCCCUUGAACGAGGAAUUCCCAGUAAGUGUGGGUCAUGAGCUCGCGUUGAUUACGUCCCUGCCCUUUGUACACACCGCCCGUCGCUGCCCGGGACUGAGCCGUUUCGAGAAAAGCGGGGACUGCUGCUGUCGGGGCUUUCGGGCCUUGGCUUCGGUGGAAACCGCUUUAAUCGCAGUGGCUUGAACCGGGCAAAAGUCGUAACA
rnacentral:rRNA from 1 species